UCAAACCGGUGGUGCGGCAACAGCCCAAGCAACCAAGUAAUCUUCGAGUAUCCGCUCUUGACUCUUUAGUGCUCACCAAUGGCGCUACUCGACGUGAUCGAUCGAGUGUGUUAGUUAAGAGUAGUAUUUGUCUGCUUACUCUGCCUUAAAUAUAAAAUACAAAAAAUUGUUAAUAAUAAAAUAGUCGAAAUACUACAGUCGCGAGCGUAGGAAUAACGUCGCAACGCGCUUGCUCAAAAAACAACAACAACAACAACAACAAGGUGGAGAAACUAUAAACGCAAACAAACGAGAUUGGACGGACGGACGGACCGCGCCUAACAGUGCUGUACCGCAGCUCCUCGACCUAGCUGCAUAGAGGGUCGGCCGUUGGAGGCAGUACGAAUCACAAAUUGUCUGUGUACGGCAUAUAAAAUAAGCAUGUGGGAAAAUACGCUUGCGUUUACGCAGCAAAGCGCAUAGCGCAACGUUCCGUACAGUGGUGGCGAAAGUGAAUGCCAAAGUGUAUAUUUUGCGACAAAUAGUGAGGAGAAGAAAGAAAGCAAAAGAAUUUGGCGUUACUUCCGCGUGUAAAUCAUAGAAAAUAUUUAGCGAAAAAAAAAAGAAAAUAAUAAUUAAACGGAAAUUAAGUGAAUUGUAUAUCCAAAUUGCGUGCAAUCAAAGCAGCUGCUAGAUUUUUUUGUUAACGAAAAGUGUAAUUAAAAAAUUAGUGCGAGAAGGAGAAAAAUUUUUUGGACGCCUGACAUUUUGUGGAAAAAGUGGCGAAUCCACGAAAGCAGAAAUACACAAAAAGGUGGCGUACUCACGUAUGGCUACUAAGUAGCAGGAAAAAGCAAAGCCAAUAAAAUAAAUGCGAAUAAAAUUAGUAA